GGCGGCGUGCUUAACACAUGCAAGUCGAGCGGAAAGGCCCUUCGGGGUACUCGAGCGGCGAACGGGUGAGUAACACGUGAGCAACCUGCCCUAGGCUUUGGGAUAACCCCGGGAAACCGGGGCUAAUACCGGAUAGGACCUGGCCCCGCAUGGGGUUGGGUGGAAAGUUUUUCGGCCUGGGAUGGGCUCGCGGCCUAUCAGCUUGUUGGUGGGGUGAUGGCCUACCAAGGCGACGACGGGUAGCCGGCCUGAGAGGGCGACCGGCCACACUGGGACUGAGACACGGCCCAGACUCCUACGGGAGGCAGCAGUGGGGAAUAUUGCACAAUGGGCGGAAGCCUGAUGCAGCGACGCCGCGUGAGGGAUGACGGCCUUCGGGUUGUAAACCUCUUUCAGCAGGGACGAAGCGUAAGUGACGGUACCUGCAGAAGAAGCGCCGGCCAACUACGUGCCAGCAGCCGCGGUAAGACGUAGGGCGCGAGCGUUGUCCGGAUUUAUUGGGCGUAAAGAGCUCGUAGGCGGCUUGUCGCGUCGACUGUGAAAACCCGCAGCUCAACUGCGGGCCUGCAGUCGAUACGGGCAGGCUAGAGUUCGGUAGGGGAGACUGGAAUUCCUGGUGUAGCGGUGAAAUGCGCAGAUAUCAGGAGGAACACCGGUGGCGAAGGCGGGUCUCUGGGCCGAUACUGACGCUGAGGAGCGAAAGCGUGGGGAGCGAACAGGAUUAGAUACCCUGGUAGUCCACGCUGUAAACGUUGGGCGCUAGGUGUGGGGGGCCUCUCCGGUUCCCUGUGCCGCAGCUAACGCAUUAAGCGCCCCGCCUGGGGAGUACGGCCGC
rnacentral:rRNA from 1 species